rnacentral:rRNA from 1 species
GUCGAGAAUCUUUCACAAUGGGGGCAACCCUGAUGGAGCGACGCCGCGUGGAGGAUAAGGUCUUCGGAUUGUAAACUCCUGUCAUGCGUGAACAAGGUUGCUUGGUUAAUACCUGGGCAAAUUGAUGGUAACGCAAGAGGAAGAGACGGCUAACUCUGUGCCAGCAGCCGCGGUAAUACAGAGGUCUCAAGCGUUGUUCGGAAUCACUGGGCGUAAAGGGUGCGUAGGUGGCGUGGUAAGUCAGAUGUGAAAGCCCGGGGCUCAACCUCGGAACUGCAUCCGAUACUGCCAUGCUAGAGUACUGGAGAGGUGACUAGAAUUCUCGGUGUAGCAGUGAAAUGCGUAGAUAUCGAGAGGAAUACCAAAGGCGUAGGCAGGUCACUGGACAGUUACUGACACUGAGGCACGAAGGCCAGGGGAGCGAACGGGAUUAGAAACCCUGGUAGUCC